AAAUACAAGGUCUCCGUUGGUGAACCAGCGGAGGGAUCAUUACCGAGUUUACAACUCCCAAACCCAAUGUGAACGUUACCAAACUGUUGCCUCGGCGGGGUCACGCCCCGGGUGCGUCGCAGCCCCGGAACCAGGCGCCCGCCGGAGGAACCAACCAAACUCUUUCUGUAGUCCCCUCGCGGACGUAUUUCUUUACAGCUCUGAGCAAAAAUUCAAAAUGAAUCAAAACUUUCAACAACGGAUCUCUUGGUUCUGGCAUCGAUGAAGAACGCAGCGAAAUGCGAUAAGUAAUGUGAAUUGCAGAAUUCAGUGAAUCAUCGAAUCUUUGAACGCACAUUGCGCCCGCCAGUAUUCUGGCGGGCAUGCCUGUCCGAGCGUCAUUUCAACCCUCGAACCCCUCCGGGGGAUCGGCGUUGGGGAUCGGGACCCCUCACACGGGUGCCGGCCCCUAAAUACAGUGGCGGUCUCGCCGCAGCCUCUCCUGCGCAGUAGUUUGCACAACUCGCACCGGGAGCGCGGCGCGUCCACGUCCGUAAAACACCCAACUUUCUGAAAUGUUGACCUCGGAUCAGGUAGGAAUACCCGCUGAACUUAAGCAAAAAAAGGGGG
rnacentral:rRNA from 1 species